GUAUAGGUUUUAUAGGCACAAGGGCCUAGGAUUACAUUCUGUUACAUACAAUGGGGUAUAUGAAAAACAUAGACCUGGAAAUGCAAGGAAAGCAAGCUAGUGCCAGCAGUCCUCCCGACCGAGUUGCCUCGGAAAGUCAAUCCAAGUCUACAAGAGGUGCACAGGUGGAGAGAUGAGGAUGGUGGGUGUGCACAUGCCCCCAAAAGAGGACCAGCAACAACCACACCAAGUUCAUUCAAUAAUGAUCCUUCCGCAGGUUCACCUACGGAAA
rnacentral:misc_RNA from 1 species